rnacentral:snRNA from 1 species
GUGCUCGCUUUGGCAGCACAUAUACUAAAAUUGGAACGUUACAGAGAAGAUUAGCGUGGCCCCUGCGCAAGGAUGACACACAAAUUUGUGAGGUGUUCCAUAUUUUU